GAAAUGACCAGGGGGUGCUCCGACAAAAAGCGGGGCUGAGAUGAUACCCCUUGAACCUGAUCCAGGUAAUGCUGGCGGAGGGAUGGUAAAAAGAUGUGUA
rnacentral:ncRNA from 2 species